CCUACGGGAGGCAGCAGUGAGGAAUAUUGGUCAAUGGACGCAAGUCUGAACCAGCCAUGCCGCGUGCAGGAAGACUGCUCUAUGAGUUGUAAACUUCUUUUGUACGAGGGUAAACGCAGACACGUGUACCUUUCUGAAAGUAUCUUAUGAAUCAGGAUCGGCUAACUCCGUGCCAGCAGCCGCGGUAAUACGGAGGAUUCAAGCGUUAUCCGGAUUUAUUGGGUUUAAAGGGUGCGUAGGCGGGCUGAUAAGUUAGAGGUGAAAUCUCGAGGCUCAACUUCGGAAUUGCCUUUGAUACUGUUAGGCGUGAGAGCAGUUGCGGUAGGCGGAAUGCAUGGUGUAGCGGUGAAAUGCUUAGAGAUCAUACAGAACACCGAUUGCGAAGGCAGCUUACCAAGCUGCUACUGACGUUGAGGCACGAAAGCGUGGGGAGCAAACAGGAUUAGAUACCCCAGUAGUC
rnacentral:rRNA from 1 species